CAGCAUCAAAUCUGCAGCAUAAAAUUUCAAACUUCAAAUCUGCAGCGAAUAAGUGGGUUCCACAAUUACUGUGAUAUAAAAGCCCUGUUCACCAGUCAAGUAGAACCAGGAGGUGAGGGCAAGUGAGAAGACGUGCCAGACUAUGGCCUUUUAGCAGCUAAACUCCACCUCCUUGACACUCUGCCCCUUUGGCAACCACCAUCAGCUCCAGUAGAGAAAAGAAACUACACAUCCAACAGCAUGCAGCUGGAUCAACAAGAUACUAUUAAUGAAGCAGAGACAUCAAGCUAAGUUUACCUUUACAGUUGACAAAAUACUGUGUAAAACUACUGUCCUAAAUUUUGACAUAUGUCAGGAGAUCUGAA